CACUGUGCUGUCAUUACUUCACACACCAAAUACUAUAAGUAUGUGGUUUAUUAUUUUAAAAAUGACUAUAAAUUAAAGAUACAUAUAGAGGAUAAAU